GCCUCCGUAGCUCAGCGGACAGAGCACCGGCUUUCUCUACUCCGGGUGGCGCUGGUUCGAUUCCGGCCGGAGGCA
rnacentral:tRNA from 6 species